rnacentral:rRNA from 1 species
GACGAACGCUGGCGGCGUGCUUAACACAUGCAAGUCGAACGGAAAGGCCCUGCUUUUGUGGGGUGCUCGAGUGGCGAACGGGCGAGUAACACGUGAGUAACCUGCCCUUGACUUUGGGAUAACUUCAGGAAACUGGGGCUAAUACCGGAUAGGAGCUCCUGCUGCAUGGUGGGGGUUGGAAAGUUUCGGCGGUUGGGGAUGGACUCGCGGCUUAUCAGCUUGUUGGUGGGGUAGUGGCUUACCAAGGCUUUGACGGGUAGCCGGCCUGAGAGGGUGACCGGCCACAUUGGGACUGAGAUACGGCCCAGACUCCUGCGGGAGGCAGCAGUGGGGAAUACUGCACAAUGGGCGGAAGCCUGAUGCAGCAACGCCGCGUGCGGGGUGACGGCCUUCGGGUUGUAAACCGCUUUCGCCUGUGACGAAGCGUGAGUGACGGUAAUGGGUAAAGAAGCACCGGCUAACUACGUG